rnacentral:rRNA from 1 species
UACGGAGGGUGCAAGCGUUAUCCGGAUUCACUGGGUUUAAAGGGAGCGUAGGCGGGCGUGUAAGUCAGUGGUGAAAGCCCUCAGCUUAACUGAGGAACUGCCAUUGAUACUAUACGUCUUGAAUGUCGUUGAGGUUUGCGGAAUGGGUCAUGUAGCGGUGAAAUGCUUAGAUAUGACCCGGAACACCUAUUGCGAAGGCAGCAGGCUAAACGAAUAUUGACGCUGAGGCUCGAAAGCGUGGGGAGCAAACAGG